rnacentral:rRNA from 1 species
CCCCGAAGUAUAGGCUGCGGGGGGAAAACGGGCCUCUGUUUUAUGCCCGUGGUUUGGGAUGAGCUUGCGGCCCAUUAGCUAGUUGGGAGGGUAAUGGCCUCCCAAGGCGACGAUGGGUAGCUGGUCUGAGAGGAUGAUCAGCCACACUGGCACUGAGACACGGGCCAGACUCCUACGGGAGGCAGCAGUGGGGAAUUUUGCGCAAUGGGCGGAAGCCUGACGCAGUAACGCCGCGUGGAGGAUGAAGGCCUUCGGGUUGUAAACUCCUGUCAGGGGGAACGACGGGGUAUAGGUAAACAAUCUAUACUACCAGACGGUACCUCCAAAGGAAGCCCCGGCUAAUUCCGUGCCAGCAGCCGCGGUAA